rnacentral:piRNA from 1 species
UGCAUUCAGAUCCAAAUGAAUAAAGGUG